rnacentral:rRNA from 1 species
UACGGAGGGUGCAAGCGUUAUCCGGAUUCACUGGGUUUAAAGGGUGCGUAGGUGGAUUGGUAAGUCAGUGGUGAAAUCUCCGGGCUUAACCCGGAAACUGCCAUUGAUACUAUCAGUCUUGAAUACCGUGGAGGUCAGUAGAAUAUGUCAUGUAGCGGUGAAAUGCUUAGAUAUGACAUAGAAUACCAAUUGCGAAGGCAGCUGGCUACACGAAUAUUGACACUCAGGCACGAAAAGCGUGGGGGAUCAAACAGG